GUAGGUGGCAAGCGUUGUCCGGAAUUAUUGGGCGUAAAGCGCGCGCAGGCGGUCCUUUAAGUCUGAUGUGAAAGCCCACGGCUCAACCGUGGAGGGUCAUUGGAAACUGGGGGACUUGAGUACAGAAGAGGAAAGCGGAAUUCCAAGUGUAGCGGUGAAAUGCGUAGAGAUUUGGAGGAACACCAGUGGCGAAGGCGGCUUUCUGGUCUGUAACUGACGCUGAGGCGCGAAAGCGUGGGGAGCAAACAGGGGUUAGAUACCCUGGUAGUCCACGCCGUAAACGAUGAGUGCUAAGUGUUAGGGGGUUUCCCGCCCCCUUAGUGCUGCAGCUAACGCAUUAAGCACUCCGCCUGGGGGAGUACGGCCGCAAGGCUG
rnacentral:rRNA from 1 species